GAAUCACCCCAGCCCGAAAAGUGUUACUGGGCCGGAAACUUACUGCUUCAAGAAACGGCGCUACAUGGACACGACUCCAACGAGACAUGCCCGGCAGAAUCUGGAAGGCCUGGUGAAAAAAGUCUAGAGCCCACGGUUUCCGCGAUUCGUCAGAACAGCCCGCGUCAAAAAAGCCGAGACUCCUCCCCGGCGUAUAACGGCACAGAAGACCAUACACACCGAGAGCACGCGGACGAUUUCGGCGCACCGGACAUUCACAAUAAAACAACAAAACCGGAUGAUUUCACCGUUUUAAAUAACAUUUCAGAGGUAGACGACUUGAUAUUAUGUGAAGCGGCCAACCUUCUUGAUUCCUCCAAUUCUUUUGUAGAAACACCCAAACCUGAAAUAGAACAAGCUAGGUUUCUCACAGCCUUUUCUUGGCCUCUAAAAUCCAGAAAGGUUUUGCUACACAAACAAAUGGUGGCUUUACUCGAGCGGCAAUACAGUCAGGAUCUAUCCUUCUGGCAUAGAACAAUGCCACGUUUGUUAAACAACAAACCGAUUAAAAAAUGCAAAUACAUGUAACAUGGAUCCUUCCAGAAUACCACAAGAACACACAUCAUUAAUUACCCAAAUGGAUGAGCCAACAGACAUAAUUGAGACAGUUGAAACCCUGUUAUCCCAGAUACCGCACGAACUCCAAGCUUUAAUUCACCAGAUGAAUGAGGCUGGGGUAACAGACAUAAUUCCGAUAGAUGAAAGCCUAUUAUCCCAGAUUCCCGCCGAACUCAUCAAAUUAAUUAAUCAUAUGAGUGAGUCCGGGAUGACCGAUGAAAACCUGUUAUCCCAGAUUCCUGACGCCCUCAUAUCGUUAAUUAACCAGAUGAAUGAGAGCAUAAGAUCUUAUACACUGGAUCCCACACCGGCCCGCCAUUAACUCCCAUGUCCGAAGAGUCUGAAAUGCAAUACGAUGUUUUGAGGAAUUGGACAAUUGUCUAAUAAAUCAGGAGGGAGAUGGUCUUGAUAGAAGUGUCCGGGUUGUAUACCGAAAUAAAUUCAGCAAUACAGAGAUUCGACAGUUUUUCAAUUUCACAUAGAUGAAUCAGAAUCUUGACUAUGCGGUGUUUUAUGUGAUGAUAUUGGAUACUCUGAACGACCUGUUAGACAGGGCAAGAGAUUAUGGCGAACCUCGUGAUGUCAUAUAGUUGGACAUUUGUGGAGCUAGCAUGCAAAACACUUUAUCUCUUAUUUUACCCAAUGAUGAAGCAGAUCUUGAACAAUUUAUAGCCCUGCUGGAACGACUUGUUCAAUCAAAUAUAUCUGUCAUAGCCGAUAGGACCCUCGAGCUUGUGGUGCAAAUAAUACGUCAACCCCUGGGUGGUGGGGGGGCAGAGAAGGAAACUAGAUAGCCUAAUGCAAUCAGAAAUCAUAAACAAUAGAAGGGCAUACCUCAUAAACGUUCACAAUCCCGGUAAUAAGCUAUGCUUUGCAAUAGGCCUAGCACAUUUACUCAACGACGGCUCUAGCAGCGUUACAAAAGGCUAGAGAGCUCCAAAUGGCCGUGGGUCUAGGUAUACAGGAUGCGGUGGCAUUCUCUGACAUAGUCAAAUUUGAAAACUUUCUGAACAUCAAGAUUGUGGUUUUGUACCACAGUAGAGCUAAUGCAGCUCUCUUGAAAUUCCAAAACAACCCACAACCUCAUCCUCAGAUUCUGUACUUAUAUGUGCAAAACGACCAUUAUUAUGCUAUUACCAA